rnacentral:rRNA from 1 species
AGAGCGGACGCUGGCGGCAGGCUUAACACAUGCAAGUCGAGCGGGCGUAGCAAUACGUCAGCGGCAGACGGGUGAGUAACGCGUGGGAACAUACCUUUUGGUUCGGAACAACACAGGGAAACUUGUGCUAAUACCGGAUAAGCCCUUACGGGGAAAGAUUUAUCGCCGAAAGAUUGGCCCGCGUCUGAUUAGCUAGUUGGUGAGGUAAUGGCUCACCAAGGCGACGAUCAGUAGCUGGUCUGAGAGGAUGAUCAGCCACAUUGGGACUGAGACACGGCCCAAACUCCUACGGGAGGCAGCAGUGGGAAUAUUGGACAAUGGGGGCAACCCUGAUCCAGCAAUGCCGCGUGGAUGAUGAAGGCCUUCGGGUUGUAAAGUCCUUUCGGCGGGAAGAUGAUGACGGUACCGCAGAAGAGCCCGGCUAACUCGCGCCAGCAGCCGC